GCUGGGUGUGGUGGUGCACUCCUGUAAUCCCACAGGCUUGGGAGGCUAAAGCAGGAGGAUCGAAAGUUCAAAGCCAGCCUCAGCAACUUAGUGAGGUCCUAAGUAACUUGGUGAGACCCUGUUUCUA
rnacentral:sRNA from 1 species